CUGGCCAAACAAGCCUGAUCCAAAGCACACUGAAGAAAAUGUUUGGCCACUUGCAGGUGCAGUCCCAGUGCUGGAGGGGAGGAGAAGUGAAGGGGAACUGGCUUACAGUGGGAAUACGUCAAUGUGGAGAGUGCCUGGUUACUACAGAGCAGAGAUUUCUGAGCCAGAUUCCAGACAAGAACAAGAUGGGAAACACAUGGCAAUUAAACAGAGUAAAGCUUGCCAUGGGUUUUAAGCCAGCAGCGAGUUCAUCAAGCACCUGAAAUGAAACCUGUCAAGGUGCUGCUUGGCAUUAAGCAGCCAACUUCAGCACUUCUAGAAGCACAAUUCCAUUAGCCAGCACUGGGCAGGGAAGAAGGCUGCAGGGGAAGGAGCAAAGAUCUUUACCCUGGACUGUUUGAAACAGAAGAGAGUUGGAAUUCCUGGAACAGACUGCAGCUAACAUUGAAGGAGUGAUGUCCCAGGGCUGGUGUAAAGAAGACCUGCACAGGCUAAGGGUAUGAGACUGUUACUUCUCAUUGCAUACCCUGACAAAUAGGUUGCAUCCAGUACUCUACAAUUUGCUCACCCUGGAAGUAGAACCUUGAAUUCUGUAAAGACAGUAGGGAGAGACCAAAUCAGGCCCGAUGCUUAGUGGAACGGGAUAUAUCAAUGACGAUGAGGGACCAUUGACUGACAUGUCACCUGCUUUGCUUCCCUGGAGCAGAAACACCUGAGAUCCUUCACCAUCUACUGCAAGUGUCCUUCCUAACAGAUAGCUUUGUUCAAAAGGAAAGAUGUCAAAUAUAGCAAAGUGAUAACCUCAGAUUUAUGAAGCUUUUCUGCAGCAAAUGCUCCUAGAUCUUUUCAAGUUAAAAUGCAUGCAUCCAGAUUGCUUCUGAGCUCCUCUUCAGUGGAUGACCACGUAGCAGAACUAAAUGUGUUCCUCUCCAAUGGGGAACAAGGGAUCCCUUCUCCUCCUGUCACCUGUGCAGAUACUGUGCCUUUCAUUUCUUCCAGUGGGUAGAAAUUAUUCACAGAUUCAAAAGCCUCUGUAAUGAAUAGCUGAUUGUGAAUGCUCAUGUUCCACGUGUCUUUACAAGGGGGAGUGUUUUCAUGUUGCGUUCCCAUGUGUCUUUUUUACUAUGAGACCAAAAGCAACUAAUCUAUUUGGGUAGUUUGUUAGAAAAACAUCAUAUGCCACCACUGCAUCUGGUUUAGAUAUUGACUUAACACCAAGCUGGAAGAUGACAGUGUAUGAUUUGUACCUCCCAAACUCAUAAUGUUGGUGACAGGUAUUUGUAGUUGGUUACACUCUUUUUAUUGAUGAAUUCGCUGCUGG